rnacentral:rRNA from 1 species
AUUGAACGCUGGCGGCAGGCCUAACACAUGCAAGUCGAGCGGAUGAAGGGAGCUUGCUCCUGGAUUCAGCGGCGGACGGGUGAGUAAUGCCUAGGAAUCUGCCUGGUAGUGGGGGAUAACGUCCGGAAACGGGCGCUAAUACCGCAUACGUCCUGAGGGAGAAAGUGGGGGAUCUUCGGACCUCACGCUAUCAGAUGAGCCUAGGUCGGAUUAGCUAGUUGGUGGGGUAAAGGCCUACCAAGGCGACGAUCCGUAACUGGUCUGAGAGGAUGAUCAGUCACACUGGAACUGAGACAAGGUCCAGACUCCUACGGGAGGCAGCAGUGGGGAAUAUUGGACAAAGGGCGAAAGCCUGAUCCAGCCAUGCCGCGUGUGUGAAGAAGGUCUUCGGAUUGUAAAGCACUUUAAGUUGGGAGGAAGGGCAGUAAGUUAAUACCUUGCUGUUUUGACGUUACCAACAGAAUAAGCACCGGCUAACUUCGUG